GAUGAACGCUGGCGGCGUGCCUAAUACAUGCAAGUCGAGCGAACAGAUAAGGAGCUUGCUCCUUUGACGUUAGCGGCGGACGGGUGAGUAACACGUGGGUAACCUACCUAUAAGACUGGGAUAACUUCGGGAAACCGGAGCUAAUACCGGAUAACAUUUGGAACCGCAUGGUUCUAAAGUGAAAGAUGGUUUUGCUAUCACUUAUAGAUGGACCCGCGCCGUAUUAGCUAGUUGGUAAGGUAACGGCUUACCAAGGCAACGAUACGUAGCCGACCUGAGAGGGUGAUCGGCCACACUGGAACUGAGACACGGUCCAGACUCCUACGGGAGGCAGCAGUAGGGAAUCUUCCGCAAUGGGCGAAAGCCUGACGGAGCAACGCCGCGUGAGUGAUGAAGGUUUUCGGCUCGUAAAACUCUGUUAUUAGGGAAGAACAAAUGUGUAAGUAACUGUGCACGUCUUGACGGUACCUAAUCAGAAAGCCACGGCUAACUACGUG
rnacentral:rRNA from 1 species